UCUCCCCCCAGCUUGGGCUGAUUUGCAGAUUUUAUAAGAAUACUCUCCAAUUCAUUAUCCAAGUCAUUAAUGAAAAAUUUGACUAGUACCAGAUCUAGGACAGGACGCUGUGGGACACCAUUUGAUACUGCCUUCUAAUUUGACAGUGAAACAUGGACAACUACUCUGAACUUAAAACUAUUU